rnacentral:rRNA from 1 species
AGAGUUUGAUCCUGGCUCAGAAUGAACGCUAGCAGUAUACUUUACACAUGCAAGUUGAACGGAAAAGAAAUUUUUAGUAGCGAACGGGUGAAUAAUUACAUAAGAAUUUACCUUUAGGAAGAGGAUACCAGUAAGAAAUUACUAUUAAUACUCUAUUUAAAAAAGAAGGAAUUUCGCCUAAAGAAAAGCUUAUGUCUGAUUAGCUAGUUGGUUAGAUAAAAGCUUACCAAGGCGAUGAUCAGUAGCUGGUUUGAGAGAACGGUCAGCCACAUUGGAACUGAGAUACGGUCCAACCUUUUACGGAAGGCAGCAGUGAGGAAUUUUUUGCAAUGGGCGAAAGCCUGACAGAGUAAUAUUGCGUGAGGGAUGACAGUUUAAGAAUUUUAAACCUCUUUGCUUCAAGGAAGAAUAAAUGACGUUACUUGAGGUAAAAAGCAUCGGCUAACUUCGUGCCAGCAGCCGCGGUAAGACGAGGGAUGCGAGUGUUAUUCGGAAUUAUUGGGUGUAAAGCGUCUGUGGGUUGUCUUUUAAGUUUUUUGUUAAAUUUAUAAACUCAAUUUAUAAGCUGCAAAAAAUACUAUUAGUCUAGAGUAUGAAGGAAGUAAAGGGAAUUUUUAGUGAAGCAGUGAAAUGCGUAGAUAUUAAAAAGAACACCAAAAGCGAAGGCACUUUACUAUAUUAUUACUGACACUAAGAGACGAAAGUUGGGGGAGCAAAAGGGAUUAGAUACCCCUGUGGUCCCAACUGUAAACGAUGAAUACUAAAUAUUGUAUUAAUUUUAAUACAGUGUUACAGCUAACGCGUUAAGUAUUCCACCUGGGAAGUACGCUCGCAAGAGUGAAACUCAAAGGAAUUGGCGGGAGUCUGCACAAUCGGUGGAUCAUGUGGUUUAAUUCGAUGCAACACGAAAAACCUUACCAGGACUUGACAUGAAGAGAAGUUUAUUUAAUUUUAAACAUGCUACGGCCUCUUACACAGGUGGUGCAUGGCUGUCGUCAGUUCGUGUCGUGAGAUGUUAGGUUAAGUCCUAUAACGAACGCAACCCUUAUCUUUAGUCUAUUCUUUCUAAAGAGACUGCCGAUUAUAAAUCGGAGGAAGGUGAGGAUGACGUCAAGUCAUCAUGCCCUUUAUGUCCUGGGCUACACACGUGAUACAAUGGAUAUUACAAAAAGUUGCAAACUUGUAAAAGUAAGCUAAUCUUUGAAAAGUAUUCUUAGUUCAGAUUGUAGACUGAAAUUCGUCUACAUGAAGUUGGAAUCGCUAGUAAUCGCAAGUCAGCUAUAUUGCGGUGAAUAUGUUCUCAGACUUUGCACACACCGCCCGUCACACCAAGGGAAUCGGCUCUACUUGAAUAUACUUUUUAACCUUUGGAUAAGGGUAUAUAGAGUCUAGUUGGUAACUGUGGUGAAGUCGUAACAAGGUA